rnacentral:rRNA from 1 species
GAGUUUGAUCCUGGCUCACGACGAACGCUGGCGGCGUGCCUAAUACAUGCAAGUCGAGCGAGCUUGCCUAGAUGAUUUUAGUGCUUGCACUAAAUGAAACUAGAUACAAGCGAGCGGCGGACGGGUGAGUAACACGUGGGUAACCUGCCCAAGAGACUGGGAUAACACCUGGAAACAGAUGCUAAUACCGGAUAACAACACUAGACGCAUGUCUAGAGUUUGAAAGAUGGUUCUGCUAUCACUCUUGGAUGGACCUGCGGUGCAUUAGCUAGUUGGUAAGGUAACGGCUUACCAAGGCAAUGAUGCAUAGCCGAGUUGAGAGACUGAUCGGCCACAUUGGGACUGAGACACGGCCCAAACUCCUACGGGAGGCAGCAGUAGGGAAUCUUCCACAAUGGACGCAAGUCUGAUGGAGCAACGCCGCGUGAGUGAAGAAGGGUUUCGGCUCGUAAAGCUCUGUUGGUAGUGAAGAAAGAUAGAGGUAGUAACUGGCCUUUAUUUGACGGUAAUUA